CGGCGGGCCAGGCCGGGGUGCAGAGCUUGGCUGUCUUCCGCGGAGAGCGAGAUCCCGUUUCAAAAUCGCAAAACUGUGGGGGAGGAUGAAGGCGAGACUUUCCCAAACCAUCCUGGGCACCAAAGAAGGUAGCGCCACUCAGUCUUCUUUGUUGUUCUCAAUGUAUCAAGCAAAACUAUUUCUAAGCCCACAUAUUCGUGUGUCAUAGUUCAGGGACACAGGUCAGCGACAAACUUCCAUGCUAUUACACCCAAAGAGAUUCUUUAGAGUGCAAAAUCACUCUGCACUCUGAAAGAUACCAGCCUUCCUCUUCUCAAAAUCUUUCGUGGAAUCAUAAUUUCUGUAGAAAUCCGCCUAUGCCUUGCCUGGUUCAGCCACAGCAAACUUACAGAGAGCUGCAACCCCAGGGAUACAACGAAUGCUUCAACAACGUGACGCGGCAGAAGCCUGGCCAGAAGGCCACACACCUGAGAGUUCGUCGAAGGGCUGGAAGCCGUGAGAGUGACAGUCCUCGAGACAGGGACUCGCUGUUACCCAGGAUGGAGUGCAGUGGCUAUUCACAGGUGCAGUCAUUAAGCACACUGCAGCCUCGGACUCCUGGGCUUAAAUGACCAUCCUUCCUCAGCCUCCCAAGUAGCUGGGAUUACAGAUGCAUUCCACCACACCCAGCUUGUAUCAACUUUUAAAUGACAGACUUCCUGUUAAAUUCAUUCACAUCAAAUAAGUUCCUCAAUUUACAGACCACAAUACCAAAAUCUGAUGAAGAUUAAAAAGCGAUAUAGACAACUUUUUGAAUGAAAAUAGUUUCAGCCCUCUCCCUCUCCCCCUCCCCCUCCCGCUUUCCACCGUCCCCCCUCUGAUGCCCAGCGGAGGCUGGACGGUACUGCCGCCAACUCGGCUCAUGGCAACCUCCCUGCCUGAUUCUUCUGCCUCAGCCUGCCGAGUGCCUGGGAUUGCAGGCACGCGCCGCCACGCCUGACUGGUUUUUGUAUUUUUUGGUGGAGACAGGGUUUCGCCGUGUUGGC
rnacentral:lncRNA from 1 species